UUUGAAACUGGCAGGCUAGAGUCUUGUAGAGGGGGGUAGAAUUCCAGGUGUAGCGGUGAAAUGCGUAGAGAUCUGGAGGAAUACCGGUGGCGAAGGCGGCCCCCUGGACAAAGACUGACGCUCAGGUGCGAAAGCGUGGGGAGCAAACAGGAUUAGAUACCCUGGUAGUCCACGCUGUAAACGAUGUCGAUUUGGAGGUUGUGCCCUUGAGGCGUGGCUUCCGGAGCUAACGCGUUAAAUCGACCGCCUGGGGAGUACGGCCGCAAGGUUAAAACUCAAAUGAAUUGACGGGGGCCCGCACAAGCGGUGGAGCAUGUGGUUUAAUUCGAUGCAACGCGAAGAACCUUACCUACUCUUGACAUCCAGAGAACUUAGCAGAGAUGCUUUGGUGCCUUCGGGAACUCUGAGACAGGUGCUGCAUGGCUGUCGUCAGCUCGUGUUGUGAAAUGUUGGGUUAAGUCCCGCAACGAGCGCAACCCUUAUCCUUUGUUGCCAGCGAUUCGGUCGGGAACUC
rnacentral:rRNA from 1 species